AAACCCCCAAAAUCCUAAUUUCCAUGAGUAGUUCAAUUCCGCUCACUUUCACAUUCUUCAAAUCCAAAGAAGUCAUUUUCCUUGUUCACAAAUCCCUUGUCCACCAAUAAACCCACCGCAAAUUCCCAUUCCAAAUUCUUUCCCAGAUUAUUUUUCUUUUUCUCCAGUUUUUUGGUCAUCGAUGGCGACGAGAAACCGAACCAUUCAGUACAGAAAGCACAGGGAUGCAGUGAAGAGCGUGCGUGCUCCUUUGUCAUCGUCAGCGUCAGUUUUGGGUGGUCCGGUUAUUGAAAUGGUUAACACUUCGUUUCUUCGUUCCAAACGUGCCUCUUAUACUCCCCUCAGCACUGAAGAUCCCGGUC
rnacentral:misc_RNA from 1 species